UAUAUGAACGGAAAAAAAGAACAAAUCACUUUAGGAAGUGAUCCGUUCACUCUCGUUCACUCAAAAGAUUUGUUCUUUUUAAACGAGUCGUUCACUGACGAGCCAACACUGAAAGCGUGACGUAGUGGCAGUUGGUAGCAGUUUGUUUUGCUAUCAAGCUACAGUAAGAACUCUCCGAUGUUGGCUAAGUUUAGCUUUACUUGCUGGUCAGCGUGUCUCCCCGACAGCAGAGAGGACAUAUAGGUCGACGAAUUUGACAGCCUGUUCAAGCACGUCGAGAAUGUCUUUCCCGACAGGACAGGGAUGAAGAUGAUAAUAUGGCGAGUCGUGGCAUUGUGGCUAUCUUUGUCACUACUAAGUUGGUGCUAUGAUGAGAGGACCAGGACCUGCCCAUUUUACAUCAGCAACAGGUUCCCUAACUGCCAUGUUGAUUGCACAGAGCCAGACCAGGAGGCCCAAAGGUCUGAGCCUCGGCAGGACAUCGAUUUGGAGGGCGAGUCAGGGGACUCUCAUCAGGAAGACGAGGCGGGUGAGAGCUUGGCUUCGCACCUCCAGUCGUACAGAAAUGAACAGUCACAAGGGGAUCAUCAAAAAGAAGAGCAGUCCACUCAAACGGUGGACAAAGAAGAGACUCAUUCGGAGCCCCAUGAACUGGACAAGCCCAGCUUAGAGGCAACCUCAGAGAUCGUCAGAGCUAUUUCCCAGCCAAAGGAGGAACACAAGCUACACUUGGAAAUGGAAAACUUUGAUGUACCUGCUGCUCAAGAACAAGAAUCAGUUGUCCUGAUUAGGUCUUCCGAUACAGACUAUGAAUCCACAGUUGAGGGAAAUGACAGUCCUGGUAUUCCUAGCCUUCAAAACAUUAUAACAGUCAGUGUUUUGGACGAUGAAAAUGACGAAGCUCAUUCUGACGUCCUUGACUCUGAGUUGCCUGCUGAAUGCAUGGAAGAGGCUAAUCCCUAUCAUCAUGGCAGGCUUCCUCCAGUCAUUUUGGAAAACAUGUCAAACGCUCACACAACUGGUACCAAAAUUCACAGUGACCCACCGAAUGCCCAGGCUGCUCAGCAUCUGGAUGACAGCGUAUCACACCCGCUCAACGAGCAAGACUUGAAUAUUGCCAACACCGCGGACACCGAUCCUACCGUGAACAGCAAAGACCCUGAAGACAUCCCAACGUUUGAUGAGUGGAAGCGGAAGAUGAUGGAGGUGGAGAAUGAAAAAACUCUGUCCACACAUACUUCUACUAAUGGGGGUUCCAAUGUAGUCAAGAAGAUGCAAAAAAACUUCAACAACUAUGCUUCCGUGGAGUGUGGAGCAAAAAUUCUUGGUGCUAAUCCAGAAGCUAAGAGCACUUCGGCCAUAUUGAAGGAGAAUAUGGACUUGUACAUGCUUAAUCCCUGCAGUAAUAAAAUCUGGUUCAUCAUUGAGCUCUGUGAGCCCAUUCAGGUGAAGCAGUUGGAUAUUGCCAAUUUUGAGCUCUUUUCUUCUACACCCAAAGACUUUCUCGUCUCCAUUAGCGACAGAUACCCGACCAACAAAUGGCUCAAAUUGGGAACCUUUCAUGGCCGGGACGAACGCACAGUACAGAGCUUCCCAUUGGAUGAGCAGCUUUAUGCUAAAUAUGUCAAAAUGUUCACCAAGUACAUAAAGGUUGAGCUGCUCUCUCACUUUGGCUCUGAACAUUUCUGCCCUCUCAGUCUCAUUAGAGUGUUUGGGACAAGCAUGGUGGAAGAGUAUGAAGAAAUAGCUGAGCCUUCUGAAAGAGCGGAAGAUCAGGACGAUGACUUGGAUUAUGCAUCUGGCUAUGGACCUGGUGAAGUCAAGUAUUCCAAGAAUCUGAUUGGCUCAGCUAAAGAUGUUAUUUUGAACAUGGUCAAUAAUAUUGCCGUGAAUGUUCUUGGUGGCAACUCGGAAAUGGAAGGAAACCUUUCAUCCCAGGGUGUGAUUGGGAAUGGUCCUGGUGUGAAUGAAACGAUAACUUCAACUCCCAUCACCGACCCAUCCGCCGUUACACCAUCUAGUUCAGAGUUGGAUGAGGCAACAUUGUCUCCAGACACAGAAAUCACUGAAACUGGUGCCCCGUCUUCAACAUCCGCUGUUCCAGAACUGCUUCCAGUUGAUAACCGUGACCAGCAGCCUCCGCCACUGGACAAACAAAUUGUUAUACCUUUAGAGUCGGAGGACGAAGAAUCUAUCAGCUCCACAAUCACGCUUUUAGAUAAAGAGGAUGAGUUCGAUGGGGAGAGGGAGAAAAUGGAACAUGCUGAACCACAAAAUGUAGACCUCUGUGCAUUUCUUCCAUGGUUUUCCUCUUGUUCAUGUACGAGCUCCCUUCAGGAGUAUAUGCAGCAACAAUGUCAGGCGCUGCUGUUCAAAAAAAGGAGAUGCCAAUCCGUGGACAGAAAGCAAACGGCUCCUUCCAUCCACACUCCCACUGGGCUCCCACCUUCAUCCUCCUCUGCCUGUCCUGAGCUCAAGACGCAUCACAGUGAGGUACAUCAGCCUCAUGAAAAAGAACAAGCUUCUGGUGGUGAGCCAGAAAGCGGAGCCAGCACGUCAGAAGCACACCAGCCUCCAGAGAACACUCUCAUGGAAGCUCAUGAUGACUCUAUGUCCGAACCGCCUCCGCUGGAGCCCAGUCAGACAUCAAGCCUCCCCAAACCAUCCACCACCGAUUCAUCCGCUGCCAACCCUUCUGUUGUCGAGACUCCACAGCUUUCUUCUGAGGCUCCAGCAAAGCUGCUAAGCUCAGAGGAGACUCAAGACAUAUUGGCUGUGGACAAGCCUACAGAAGCUUCACUACCUCCCACUAGCUCAGUCAUCGGAACUGCAGUCGACGAUGGCAAAGUGACAGCCACAGAAGUAAAGGCCAACAUAGUGAUAUGCGACUCGAUCCUAAAUCCUGAUAUGACAGGUGAGUCCCAGAUUGCUUCUCCUCAUGUACAUCAGUCCCCGGACCCAGCAGUUGUACUCGACAGCGGCACUCUUUCCACUGAGCUAUCCCAGCCUGCUCCACACACAACCAUUGAACUUGAGCUCUCUAGUAGUAGUGCCCCGGUCAUCACAGAUAGCAAAACCGAGGACCUCACAGAAGAUGUCUCUACCCCUGGUCUCCCUCCUUUGCCGUCGACAUCUCCCUCACCGUCCCUCUCAGACAUUUACGCAGAUCCCCCGAAUGGCACAGAACAGAACGGCAACCCGGUGCACGGCUCCAGCCAGAAGGAGUCCGUGUUCAUGCGACUCAACAACCGCAUUAAGGCCCUGGAGAUGAAUAUGUCGCUCAGCGGACGCUAUCUGGAGCAGCUCAGCCAGAGAUAUCGGAAGCAGGUGGAGGAGAUGCAGAAGGCUUUCAACAAAACCAUUAUUAAACUCCAGAACACCUCCAGAAUUGCAGAGGAGCAAGACCAGCGUCAGACAGAGUCUAUUCAGUUGCUGCAAGGUCAGCUGGAGAACAUUACUCAGAUGGUCCUAAACCUGUCCAUUCAGGUCAGCCAGCUGCAGAACGAGGUCUCAGACAGGCACAACUACCUUCUGCUGUGCCUGCUGCUGAGUUUGUGUUUCGGCCUGGCGCUCUUUGCCAACCGCUACCGCAUCUCCGUCACGCCUCCGAAUGCAGAGCCAGAGCCACCCGCAGUAAACAGCUACAGCUACUGCUAUCCCGAGAGGAAUUUCACGUCCGGUGAUGACUGUAGUUUGAAGAGGAGUGCAUCCUACCCACCAAUCCACUCAUUCCAGUUAGUGCCAAGGCAAGGUACCGGUCUCGAAAGUCUUCAUCCCGAGGAGAGUCAAGCGAGCAGAAAGACUCCCCCCAACAUUCGACCCGUUCCAGUUUGUCUACCGGCAGAACCGCUCUACUGAGGAUGCCAUCCCCUCCGCUUUUCACCUGAGCCUGGCUCACUUGGAGGAGAAGAACACCCAUGUGCGGAUGCUGUUCCUGGACUUCAGUUCAGCGUUUAACACCAUCAUCCCACAGCAUCUGGUGGGAAAACUGGAACACCUGGGCUUCGGCACCCCCCUUCGGAACUGGCUGCUAGACUUCCUCACCAAAAGACCGCAGUCAGUCCGGGUCGGACAGGACACCUCAAAUGUCAUCACCCUCAGCACAGGCUCCCCUCAGGGCUGCGUCUUGAGCCCCCUGCUGUUCACCCUGAUGACACACGACUGCGUCCCCAGGUUGCAGCGCCUCCGAUUGGAAGAACGCAAGGAGAGUGGUGAGGACUGCAGAGAGGAUCAUCGGGGCUCCUCUUCCCUCCAUUCAGUACAUUUCAUCUCAGCGCUGCGUGUCCCGGGCCCGUAACAUCAUCAGUGACCCAUCACACCCCCGCCAUGGACUGUUCUCCCUGCUGCCCUCUGGGAAGAGGUUUCGCAGCAUCCGCUGGAGGUCCACCAGGUUCUGCAACAGCUUUUUCCCUGCUGUCAUCAGACUGUUGAACAUUCAAACUGUUAAACUCUAAACUGGACUCUGCAUCACACAUAUACAGAAUCUGUACAUUAUGAUACUACAAACCACUAUCGCACUGCCAACCUUGCUGAACUUUUAUAAUCCAUGUAAAUUUAAAAGUACGCAACCUGGUUUAGCAUUCCUCUGCACACUUUUUAAAUACUGUUUUUGUUUCCUGCACUAUUACAUACUUUAUCACUGCUGCACUUUAUACCUAUCUUAUUUUAUAUUUUUAUAUAGAAUGUGACUUUUAUUCAACCGCAAUAUCACUGCAUUGUUGUAAGCUUUAUGCAACGGAAUUUCGUUUUGUAUGCGCCCAGUGCAGACAAAAUGACAAUAAAGUUCAACCAAGUCUAAUAUACGUAUGUAUUAGGGGUGUAAAUUGCGGGUUUUGUCACGAUACGAUAUAAUAUUGAUACAAAGAACUACGAUACGAUAUUUGCCGGUAUCUUAAAGCCUGCUGCGAUUCAUUCACGAUAUAUCGCGAUAUAGUGCUCUACGAUCGAUUUUUUUUUUUUUAAUAAAAAAUAUAGAACAAUAACCUGAUUUAUAACAAUUCAUACGCAAAAUCAACAAGGUACUGCAAACUCUUUAUUUAGGAAAUAAGAGUAUUGUAGUAUACAAAGUGCUUAUUUUAACACUAAACUUUGAUGUCGUGUUUUUUCUUUAAAUGUGCGGCGAGAUUUGUGCUCCCUGAAUAUUUGGCAUGGCAGGAUUUACAAACUGCACGUGUCUUGUCCGUUGAGUCAUCUUUUCUUUGGAAUCCAAAGUGCUUCCAAACGAAUGACUUGAAGCCUAAAAGGGAGGUGAUUUCCUCGUCUCUUUGGACACUAGCCACCGCGUACUAGUUGUCGCCUCCCCUUUCACGUGCGGUGCUCUGCUCACAACACAACAACGCCGGGCGCACUGCUCCCGGAAAGAGGAACCAAGCAACAAUGAACUGGAUUUCAAAAUAAAGUCGCGUCUAAUGUCCGAGGUCAAACACGGCGAUAUAAAUCGAUGUUUACGUUUAGCAUCGAUGCCAAUAAAUCGUAGAGCAUUAUAUCGAUUAAUCGAUGUGUAUCGAUGUAUCGUUACACCCCUAGUAUGUAUAUAUGUAUAUAUGUAUAUAUCUAUGUAUAUAUAUUUAUAUGUAUAUAUGUGUAUGUAUGUGUGUGUAUAUAUAUACAUACAUGUGUAUAUAUGUGUGUAUAUAUGUAUAUGUAUACAAAGAAUUACGAUACGAUAUUUGCCGAUAUCUUAAAGCCUGCUGCGAUUCAUUCACGAUAUAUCGCGAUAUAGUGCUCUACGAUUGAUUAUUAUUUUUUUGUUGUUUUAAUAAAAAAUAUAGAACAAUAUCCUGGUUUAUAACAAUUCAUACGCAAAAUCAACAAGGUACUGCAAACUAUUUAGGAAAU